AAUAGCUCAGUUGGUAGAGCGUUUGCCUGUUAAGCAAAAUGUCGUAGGUUCAAGCCCUACUUG
rnacentral:tRNA from 1 species